rnacentral:rRNA from 1 species
GACGAACGCUGGCGGCGUGCUUAACACAUGCCAGUCGAACGGAAAGGCCCUGCUUUUGUGGGGUGCUCGAGUGGCGAACGGGUGAGUAACACGUGAGUAACCUGCCCUUGACUUUGGGAUAACUUCAGGAAACUGGGGCUAAUACCGGAUAGGAGCUCCUGCUGCAUGGUGGGGGUUGGAAAGUUUCGGCGGUUGGGGAUGGACUCGCGGCUUAUCAGCUUGUUGGUGGGGUAGUGGCUUACCAAGGCUUUGACGGGUAGCCGGCCUGAGAGGGUGACCGGCCACAUUGGGACUGAGAUACGGCCCAGACUCCUACGGGAGGCAGCAGUGGGGAAUAUUGCACAAUGGGCGGAAGCCUGAUGCAGCAACGCCGCGUGCGGGAUGACGGCCUUCGGGUUGUAAACCGCUUUCGCCUGUGACGAAGCGUGAGUGACGGUAAUGGGUAAAGAAGCACCGGCUAACUAC